UUUUAAAAUUCUUUCAUUUUAUUGAAUUUACCUAGGUUUGAAAAUUUUUUUUUCCUCUUUUUAGAAGAGAAAUUUUCCUUCAAAAUGAGUUCAUUUACCUUCCAAUAGAAAAUAUUUUUUUAUUCACUAAUUUUUCUGAAUGUUCCAAACGUAGAAAAAUUCAUAAAAACGAACAUUUCGCUUGAAACAUUCAAGCCUUAUUCAAAACAAAACAUUUCCCACCUGUGACAUCCAAAACAUCAUCUAACUUAUCACCGAAAGGGAAUGUUAAGUCUAUAACAGACCAAUAGAGAAGCAGAAAAUGAACCUCAAUCAAUCAAAGACGUAAAUUGUAUGAAUAUUCUUCAGGCAAAACAUGGCAGCACACAUGCUUGAUGGCUAGCAAUGCACAGCUUCAGAUUUGUUUCCUGCGGUAUGAUAUUGCCAUAAAAAUGAUUCAACUAUGGAAUGUUUUCAAGUGGAAAACUCAACCGAUGGGAUAUUUUUGCAGAAACAUCAAAACUGCAUUUCAGAAAUUGCAACAGAAAUACCCACUUACUGAUUCACACUAAAAGUAACAAAUCAAUGAAAUGAAAAAUAUUCACCACUAACAGUAACAUAUAAAUAAAACAAAGAUAUAUUAGGCAAACAACAAUUGCGGCAAUCAAUGUACAGAAGGAAGGAAAGAGUAGACGCCCCUUUCAUCCAAACAUGACUUGUACAAUAAAACAGGAGAAAAUUUAUCGCCUGGAUCCCGCUAUUCGAGUCAUUCUGUAGAUGGCAAUGACAAUGUGAGUUUAAAGAUGAAACCAACCAAAAUUCCAAUAAGUCCCACAACAAACGCGAAAGUCAGGGAAAACCCUGGACUAUUUUUUCGAUAUCCCCGUCGCUUCAUCAUGUCCAGUUCCUUUUGCAGUUGACGAGUUUGUUGGACAGCUGCAUCCCUUUCAUCCUUCAGGCGCUGUAAUGCCUGAUUAGAGUUAGGAUCAAGACUCUGUGAGGAGAUUUUUUUUGUCUCUUCUUCCGAGUUUCCUUGAGUUGAUGGGUUGACAUAUACAACUCUAAGCUUGCACUCUUCAAAUGUCUUUCCACUACCAUCCUUAUUGAAAGUAUCUGGUGGAAGCUCAUCAACAUCAGUAUGUGGAGGCACUGUCGUACUCUGCAAGAGAAACUUAUCUUUGCAUUGCAUAUCUGCAGGGUAUUCUUGUUGGGCUUGAAGAGUAACUCUGAUGACACAUGAGUCCCAAGGUUGUAUGACACCAGUGUUAGGCCUUACAAAGUACUUCUUGGGCGAAGUGGUUUUAACCUUAAACGCAACAUGCUGUUCUGUAUUGUUCACAACUUUAAGAUCACAAAAGCUUUGCUUCUCCAGCUCAACUGAUUAUAUGAAUAACACAAUUUUAAGCCCAAAAGAAUUGUACAUAACCGAAUCAAUAAGAAUGUUCACAACUGUUACAUCAAAACAAUGAACUUAUAUUUUUUUAGGAGUAACUGAAUUUUCAAGAAUACUAACUAUAAAUUCAUAUUCAGAAGAAAUGAUAGGAGCAUUGAAUCAGUUAUUCAUACUUCUCAUUUAUGCAAAUAUUUGAGCUUAUAAAUUCUAGAAAACAACCCAUUUGGCUGUUUCACCAUCUUUUGAUGUUCUUUUAUUUUGACAAAACAAGUUUCUCUAUAUGGAAAAAAUAAGGCACGUCUAAGGCCUUUAUAGUCCACUAAUCCAGUAUCUUCUCCAGGCAAAUAGACUUUGAUAUCUGAAAAAAAAAAAUUACCAGGUUGAGCCUGGCUUCUAAUUCAUUUCUGUAAAUUGUACUUCCAUCAAUUUUAAUCUGAAAGAAAUUCCACGCGUCCUUCUUGCACCAUGGACUAUCUCUAGUGUGUUGAUAGGUUUUACUAGAAUGUCAGGCCUCAGGGAUCUAGCUCAUUGGUGAUGAUCAUUUUGAAACACAUGAAAACAUAUAAGUAAACAAAAACGAGAAACUAAUAGCAGUAGCUCUUUGGUGCGAGAUUGGAAAGGUUUCCUCAACAUGGUAAGAAACCAACUUUACAAUUCUAGGAGACAGAAUCUUGAUACCUGACUUCGUUCUUACACCAAAGCUUUCCCAAGAGGUAGAAAAAGAACAUAUUACAUGUAUAAGGAUUAACUAAAAAUGCAAAGAGUCUAUGAAUGUAACGACCAAAAAGAAAGAAUCAAACCGUUUCUUUCAACUAAUUUCCCUUCCAUUAUCAGUCAGAAAAAUCUAAAAAUAUCUACCAUCACGCCCUACAUUUUUGCCUUAUUUAUCUUUGUUAUUAGCAAGGUCAAACGCUCUACAAUCCAAGCUCAUUCUCAACAUAUGAAUUCCAUUGGAACAAGCAUGUAGGUUGACGAUAACCCUCCUCGACAAACACACAGGCGGUUUCCAAUUGACGCAAUUUUCAGUAAUUUGCACCUAAUCUGUGCCGCUAGAAUUGCAAAAUCACCAUCAAUUACAACAUCUCCAAUGCAUUAAAUCACAUAAGCAACACACAAGUGUUGAGAGAGAGAGAGAGAGAGA
rnacentral:misc_RNA from 1 species